GGGCCCUUAGCUCAGCGGUAGAGCAUUCGGCUCAUAACCGACCGUGCGCUGGUUCGAAUCCAGCAGGGCCCACCA
rnacentral:tRNA from 1 species